rnacentral:RNase_P_RNA from 1 species
UGAGUAAGCCAGACAGUUGCGUAUACAGUGCCGAAAGGCCGUAUAUGAGGAAAGUCCGGGCUCCACAGGGCAAGGUGCCGGGUAACUCCCGGUGAAGGCGACUUCAAGGAAAGUGCAACAGAGAUAUACCGCGUUCCAGGGAGCAGAAAACAGGGAUCGGAGAGCAGAAAAUUCUUAGUUCAGAUGCGUUCAAAGCUAUUUCUUAAUCUGAUUUCCGGCAUCUGUUUUCUGUUCUCUGGAGCGUAAGGGUGGAAAGGUGAGGUAAGAGCUCACCAGCGGCAUGGCGACUUGCCGGUCUAUGUAAACCCCACCUGGAGCAACACCGUAGAGGGACGUUAAAGGUUGCCCGCCUGUCCCGAGUAGGUGGCUUGAGCAUUGCAGAAAUGUAAUGCCUAGAUAGAUGACUGUCUAAUACAGAACCCGGCUUAUAGACUUACUCAUAUC